UGGGCUUGACAUGGGCAUGGUAGUGAAGCGAAAGCGGAACGACCCGCAAGGGAGUGUCCACAGGUGCUGCAUGGCUGUCGUCAGCUCGUGCCGUGAGGUGUUAGGUUAAGUCCUGUAACGAGCGCAUCCCUUACUGCCAGUUACACGUGUCUGGCGGGACUGCCGGUGUGAAACCGGAGGAAGGUGGGGAUGACGUCAAGUCAGCAUGGCCUUUAUGUCCAGGGCUACACACACGCUACAAUGGCCGGUACAGAGGGAAGCGAUACCGCGAGGUGAAGCGAAUCUCACAAAGCCGGUCGUAGUUCGGAUUGCAGGCUGCAACCCGCCUGCAUGAAGCUGGAGUUGCUAGUAACAGCCGGUCAGCCACACGGCUGUGAAUACGUUCCCGGGCC
rnacentral:rRNA from 1 species